rnacentral:rRNA from 2 species
UUAAGCGACUAAGCGUACACGGUGGAUGCCCUGGCAGUCAGAGGCGAUGAAGGACGUGCUAAUCUGCGAUAAGCGUCGGUAAGGUGAUAUGAACCGUUAUAACCGGCGAUUUCCGAAUGGGGAAACCCAGUGUGUUUCGACACACUAUCAUUAACUGAAUCCAUAGGUUAAUGAGGCGAACCGGGGGAACUGAAACAUCUAAGUACCCCGAGGAAAAGAAAUCAACCGAGAUUCCCCCAGUAGCGGCGAGCGAACGGGGAGGAGCCCAGAGCCUGAAUCAGUGUGUGUGUUAGUGGAAGCGUCUGGAAAGGCGCGCGAUACAGGGUGACAGCCCCGUACACAAAAAUGCACAUACUGUGAGCUCGAUGAGUAGGGCGGGACACGUGGUAUCCUGUCUGAAUAUGGGGGGACCAUCCUCCAAGGCUAAAUACUCCUGACUGACCGAUAGUGAACCAGUACCGUGAGGGAAAGGCGAAAAGAACCCCGGCGAGGGGAGUGAAAAAGAACCUGAAACCGUGUACGUACAAGCAGUGGGAGCCUCUUUAUGGGGUGACUGCGUACCUUUUGUAUAAUGGGUCAGCGACUUAUAUUCUGUAGCAAGGUUAACCGAAUAGGGGAGCCGAAGGGAAACCGAGUCUUAACUGGGCGUUAAGUUGCAGGGUAUAGACCCGAAACCCGGUGAUCUAGCCAUGGGCAGGUUGAAGGUUGGGUAACACUAACUGGAGGACCGAACCGACUAAUGUUGAAAAAUUAGCGGAUGACUUGUGGCUGGGGGUGAAAGGCCAAUCAAACCGGGAGAUAGCUGGUUCUCCCCGAAAGCUAUUUAGGUAGCGCCUCGUGAAUUCAUCUCCGGGGGUAGAGCACUGUUUCGGCAAGGGGGUCAUCCCGACUUACCAACCCGAUGCAAACUGCGAAUACCGGAGAAUGUUAUCACGGGAGACACACGGCGGGUGCUAACGUCCGUCGUGAAGAGGGAAACAACCCAGACCGCCAGCUAAGGUCCCAAAGUCAUGGUUAAGUGGGAAACGAUGUGGGAAGGCCCAGACAGCCAGGAUGUUGGCUUAGAAGCAGCCAUCAUUUAAAGAAAGCGUAAUAGCUCACUGGUCGAGUCGGCCUGCGCGGAAGAUGUAACGGGGCUAAACCAUGCACCGAAGCUGCGGCAGCGACGCUUAUGCGUUGUUGGGUAGGGGAGCGUUCUGUAAGCCUGUGAAGGUGUGCUGUGAGGCAUGCUGGAGGUAUCAGAAGUGCGAAUGCUGACAUAAGUAACGAUAAAGCGGGUGAAAAGCCCGCUCGCCGGAAGACCAAGGGUUCCUGUCCAACGUUAAUCGGGGCAGGGUGAGUCGACCCCUAAGGCGAGGCCGAAAGGCGUAGUCGAUGGGAAACAGGUUAAUAUUCCUGUACUUGGUGUUACUGCGAAGGGGGGACGGAGAAGGCUAUGUUGGCCGGGCGACGGUUGUCCCGGUUUAAGCGUGUAGGCUGGUUUUCCAGGCAAAUCCGGAAAAUCAAGGCUGAGGCGUGAUGACGAGGCACUACGGUGCUGAAGCAACAAAUGCCCUGCUUCCAGGAAAAGCCUCUAAGCAUCAGGUAACAUCAAAUCGUACCCCAAACCGACACAGGUGGUCAGGUAGAGAAUACCAAGGCGCUUGAGAGAACUCGGGUGAAGGAACUAGGCAAAAUGGUGCCGUAACUUCGGGAGAAGGCACGCUGAUAUGUAGGUGAAGCGACUUGCUCGUGGAGCUGAAAUCAGUCGAAGAUACCAGCUGGCUGCAACUGUUUAUUAAAAACACAGCACUGUGCAAACACGAAAGUGGACGUAUACGGUGUGACGCCUGCCCGGUGCCGGAAGGUUAAUUGAUGGGGUUAGCGGUAACGCGAAGCUCUUGAUCGAAGCCCCGGUAAACGGCGGCCGUAACUAUAACGGUCCUAAGGUAGCGAAAUUCCUUGUCGGGUAAGUUCCGACCUGCACGAAUGGCGUAAUGAUGGCCAGGCUGUCUCCACCCGAGACUCAGUGAAAUUGAACUCGCUGUGAAGAUGCAGUGUACCCGCGGCAAGACGGAAAGACCCCGUGAACCUUUACUAUAGCUUGACACUGAACAUUGAGCCUUGAUGUGUAGGAUAGGUGGGAGGCUUUGAAGUGUGGACGCCAGUCUGCAUGGAGCCGACCUUGAAAUACCACCCUUUAAUGUUUGAUGUUCUAACGUUGGCCCCUGAUCGGGGUUGCGGACAGUGUCUGGUGGGUAGUUUGACUGGGGCGGUCUCCUCCUAAAGAGUAACGGAGGAGCACGAAGGUUGGCUAAUCCUGGUCGGACAUCAGGAGGUUAGUGCAAUGGCAUAAGCCAGCUUGACUGCGAGCGUGACGGCGCGAGCAGGUGCGAAAGCAGGUCAUAGUGAUCCGGUGGUUCUGAAUGGAAGGGCCAUCGCUCAACGGAUAAAAGGUACUCCGGGGAUAACAGGCUGAUACCGCCCAAGAGUUCAUAUCGACGGCGGUGUUUGGCACCUCGAUGUCGGCUCAUCACAUCCUGGGGCUGAAGUAGGUCCCAAGGGUAUGGCUGUUCGCCAUUUAAAGUGGUACGCGAGCUGGGUUUAGAACGUCGUGAGACAGUUCGGUCCCUAUCUGCCGUGGGCGCUGGAGAACUGAGGGGGGCUGCUCCUAGUACGAGAGGACCGGAGUGGACGCAUCACUGGUGUUCGGGUUGUCAUGCCAAUGGCACUGCCCGGUAGCUAAAUGCGGAAGAGAUAAGUGCUGAAAGCAUCUAAGCACGAAACUUGCCCCGAGAUGAGUUCUCCCUGAGACUUUAAGUCUCCUGAAGGAACGUUGAAGACGACGACGUUGAUAGGCCGGGUGUGUAAGCGCAGCGAUGCGUUGAGCUAACCGGUACUAAUGAACCGUGAGGCUUAACCUU